GACGAACGCUGGCGGCGUGCUUAACACAUGCAAGUCGAACGGAAAGGCCCUGCUUUUGUGGGGUGCUCGAGUGGCGAACGGGUGAGUAACACGUGAGUAACCUGCCCUUGACUUUGGGAUAACUUCAGGAAACUGGGGCUAAUACCGGAUAGGAGCUCCUGCUGCAUGGUGGGGGUUGGAAAGUUUCGGCGGUUGGGGAUGGACUCGCGGCUUAUCAGCUUGUUGGUGGGGUAGUGGCUUACCAAGGCUUUGACGGGUAGCCGGCCUGAGAGGGUGACCGGCCACAUUGGGACUGAGAUACGGCCCAGACUCCUACGGGAGGCAGCAGUGGGGAAUAUUGCACAAUGGGCGGAAGCCUGAUGCAGCAACGCCGCGUGCGGGAUGACGGCCUUCGGGUUGUAAACCGCUUUCGCCUGUGACGAAGCGUGAGUGACGGUAAUGGGUAAAGAAGCACCGGCUAACUACGUGCCAGCAGCCGCGGUGAUACGUAGGGUGCGAGCGUUGUCCGGAUUUAUUGGGCGUAAAGGGCUCGUAGGUGGUUGAUCGCGUCGGAAGUGUAAUCUUGGGGCUUAACCCUGAGCGUGCUUUCGAUACGGGUUGACUUGAGGAAGGUAGGGGAGAAUGGAAUUCCUGGUGGGGCGGUGGAAUGCGCAGAUAUCAGGAGGAACACCAGUGGCGAAGGCGGUUCUCUGGGCCCUUCCUGACGCUGAGGAGCGAAAGCGUGGGGAGCGAACAGGCUUAGAUACCCUGGUAGUCCACGCUGUAAACGGUGGGUACUAGGUGUGGGGUCCAUUCCACGGGUUCCGUGCCGUAGCUAACGCUUUAAGUACCCCGCCUGGGGAGUACGGCCGCAAGGCUAAAACUCAAAGGAAUUGACGGGGCCCCGCACAAGCGGCGGAGCAUGCGGAUUAAUUCGAUGCAACGCGUAGAACCUUACCUGGGUUUGACAUGGAUCGGGAGUGCUCAGAGAUGGGUGUGCCUCUUUUGGGGUCGGUUCACAGGUGGUGCAUGGCUGUCGUCAGCUCGUGUCGUGAGAUGUUGGGUUAAGUCCCGCAACGAGCGCAACCCUUGUUCACUGUUGCCAGCACGUUAUGGUGGGGACUCAGUGGAGACCGCCGGGGUCAACUCGGAGGAAGGUGGGGAUGACGUCAAGUCAUCAUGCCCCUUAUGUCCAGGGCUUCACGCAUGCUACAAUGGCUGGUACAGAGAGUGGCGAGCCUGUGAGGGUGAGCGAAUCUCGGAAAGCCGGUCUCAGUUCGGAUUGGGGUCUGCAACUCGACCUCAUGAAGUCGGAGUCGCUAGUAAUCGCAGAUCAGCAACGCUGCGGUGAAUACGUUCCCGGG
rnacentral:rRNA from 1 species